rnacentral:rRNA from 1 species
GCUUGCACUUGUUGAGACCGGCGAACGGGUGCGUAACACGUAUGCAACCUACCUUCAACUGGGGAAUAGCCCGAAGAAAUUCGGAUUAAUACCCCAUAAUUUUACUUUAAGGCAUCUUUUAGUAAUUAAAGCUCCGGCGGUUGAAGAUGGGCAUGCGGUCCAUUAGUUAGUUGGUGAGGUAACGGCUCACCAAGACCACGAUGGAUAGGGGGUCUGAGAGGAUGAUCCCCCACACUGGUACUGAGACACGGACCAGACUCCUACGGGAGGCAGCAGUAGGGAAUAUUGGACAAUGGGCGAAAGCCUGAUCCAGCCAUGCCGCGUGCAGGAUGACGGCCCUAUGGGUUGUAAACUGCUUUUAUAUGGGAAGAAACACCCCGACGUGUCGGGGCUUGACGGUACCAUACGAAUAAGGAUCGGCUAACUCCGUGCCAGCAGCCGCGGUAAUACGGAGGAUCCAAGCGUUGUCCGGAUUUAUUGGGUUUAAAGGGUGCGUAGGCGGAUUGAUAAGUCAGUGGUG